rnacentral:rRNA from 1 species
AAGUCGAACGGCAGCGAGGGGGAAACUCCUUGCGAGAGUGGCGAACGGGUGAGUAACACGUAGGUGAUCUGUCCCAAUUUUGGGGAUAGUCCGUGGAAACAUGGGGUAAUACCGAAUAAGCUUGGAGGAGUAAAGGCCUUCAAGGAAAGGCGCGGAUGCGUCGAAGAGGGAUGAGCCUGCGGCCCAUUAGCUAGUUGGUGGGGUAAGAGCCUACCAAGGCGACGAUGGGUAGCCGGCCUGAGAGGGUGAACGGCCACACUGGGACUGAGAUACGGCCCAGACUCCUACGGGAGGCAGCAGCUAAGAAUCUUCCGCAAUGGGCGCAAGCCUGACGGAGCGACGCCGCGUGGACGAAGAAGGCCGCAAGGUUGUAAAGUCCCUUUCUCUGUGAAGAAUAAAGAGGCGAGGAAAUGCGCCUGAGAUGACGAUAGCAGAGGAAUAAGCCCCGGCUAAUUACGUGCCAGCAGCCGCGGUAAUACGUAAGGGGUGAGCGUUGUUCGGAAUUAUUGGGUGUAAAGGGCGCGUAGGCGGUUUUUCGAGUCUGGUGUAAAAGGUGAGAGCUCAACUCUGACUGUGCGCUGGAAACUGGAGAACUUGAGUGUAGGAGGGGGAGCUGGAAUUCCAGGUGUAGGGGUGAAAUCUGUAGAUAUCUGGAAGAACACCGGUGGCGAAGGCGAGC